GGGGAAUAUUGGACAAUGGGGGCAACCCUGAUCCAGCCAUGCCGCGUGAGUGAUGAAGGCCCUAGGGUUGUAAAGCUCUUUCAACGGUGAAGAUAAUGACGGUAACCGUAGAAGAAGCCCCGGCUAACUUCGUGCCAGCAGCCGCGGUAAUACGAAGGGGGCUAGCGUUGUUCGGAAUUACUGGGCGUAAAGCGCACGUAGGCGGAUUGGUCAGUUAGGGGUGAAAUCCCAGGGCUCAACCCUGGAACUGCCUUUAAUACUGCCGGUCUGGAGUUCGAGAGAGGUGAGUGGAAUUCCGAGUGUAGAGGUGAAAUUCGUAGAUAUUCGGAGGAACACCAGUGGCGAAGGCGGCUCACUGGCUCGAGACUGACGCUGAGGUGCGAAAGCGUGGGGAGCAAAC
rnacentral:rRNA from 1 species